CCUACGGGAGGCUGCAGUGAGGAAUAUUGGUCAAUGGCCGGAAGGCUGAACCAGCAAAGCCGCGUGAAGGACGACGGUGCCAAGCAUUGUAAACUUCUUUUGUCAAGGGACAAAAUCAGGCUCGAGAGCCUGACCGAGGGUACUUGAAGAAAAAGCAUCGGCUAACUCCGUGCCAGCAGCAGCGGUAAUACGGAGGAUGCGAGCGUUAUCCGGAUUUAUUGGGUUUAAAGGGUGCGUAGGCGGACUGUUAAGUCAGCGGUAAAAGCCCGGGGCUCAACCCCGGCACGGCGUUGAAACUGGUGAUCUUGAGAUGCCGAGAGGUAUGCGGAAUGCGUAGUGUAGCGGUGAAAUGCGUAGAUAUUGCGCAGAACUCCGAUUGCGAAGGCAGCAUACCGGCGGCGAUCUGACGCUGAGGCACGAAAGCGAGGGUAUCGAACGGGAUUAGAUACCCGAGUAGUC
rnacentral:rRNA from 1 species